rnacentral:lncRNA from 1 species
GCUAGACUUCUUUUACCUAGAUCCACCUGAUCAACCUUGUAAACAGCUCAUAACUGCUAAACUACAAUAAGACUUCUAUGUUAGAUACUGAAGUCCCCUGGGCCUUCUCUUUAUUCUCUUUGUGGGAAGCUAUAUUCAUAGCAAUCCUGCUGACCUUAUAAUUUGGCCCAUAUAUUCUUAACUGUUUCUUUCACUUUGUCUCCUCCAGACUCAAAAUUAUGUGGCUACCAAGAUGACAAUGUCUGGUGCUUAUCAAAGGCUUUUAGAUAGACCUGCAGAGUACCUCUGGCUGCUGAUCACAACUACAGCCCUCUUUAGCUGUGUGUGGCGAAGAAGACAGAGCUCACCAGGACUUGUGCAGACAGGAAGCAUCCAUCACAGACCUCUCCAAGGCACAAAUGUUACCUUGGCCAACAGCUUUCAGAGAGCACACCCUCCUUCCAGCAACAGGCCUGUUCCACCUUGUUACAUCUUGUCCUGUCCUGUGCUGGCAAACCCAUGGCCUGCAGGCUCCUUCACCACCCUAAGUGGAGAUACAGUGCCUUUGCCCCCAUCAUCCCAGCUCAACACUUUUCCUGCCAAACAUCUCUUGGAGGCAGUGGGAGGCCGGCACUGGAAGGGAGACCAGAAGCCAAGACUUUAGAUGGCUUGAAGAUGCAUAAGCUCGUGUUCAUCUCAAGAGUAAGAGGAACAGCACAGACUAUUAAUAAUGCACUGUUGGGUACAUUGUUUUCAUUGUUGUUUUGCCGUUGUUCAAAAGGACCAGAUCAGAUCCUAUUAUGGGAUAGGGUUACUAUGAACUUAAUAAACAUUGCCAUUUUCAGUCAUUCUGGGAUACGUUAAUACUGCAGUAAGGCUGAAUUCAAGGGCAUUUCCAAUGAAGUUAGAUCAGUGGAUCCCUGCAACAUGAGGUUAGGUCUAGGGGUAAGCAGAGAAGUGUCCAGGAGAAGAUUCCUGAGUAGCCCCCAGAGUGGAAAUACUUAGUCUUUAUGUUUUUCUUUCUAACAUGCUUCCUUUCUUAUCACAAAGCAAACUUAACAAACCUUCAGCAAAGUCUUAACAAAUUGUAUUCUUAGUUUCAACUAUUACUGCUUGGGAUUGAGGAUAGGGUCAACAUUCACGUUAGCCAAGGUGGCAUGGGGAAAACAGCAGCAGCUUGCCUUUGAGAAGAGCAUAUAUAACUAUAGAAAGAGCAAAUAAUCAUCUGAUUCCUAGGUAAACAUUAAUGAAAAGUGAGUCCCAGAAUUGGUCUGCGAAGUGUGUGCUUCUUGGAGUUUCUCAGAAACACUUGGCGGUAAAAG